AAUUACAAAUACAACAAAAACUGCAAAAAGUUGUAAAAAUUGCAAAAAUAACAAAAAACAACAAAAAGAAAACUUAACUGUAUAUAAUGCAUGGCGCAAGCAAAACGAAGCUGUGUAACUACUGCUAAAGCAAGUAAAUAGCAAUGAAAACAAAAAGUAAUAAAUGGCAAGUUUAUAUACAUAGCAUGAAUAUAUAUGUAUAUGAAGCUUAUGUAAUGCGCAACAAGACAACAACAGCACGUGUCUUACAUUAAACACUCCUGUUACGAAAAUUACACAUAGCAUGUGACUGCAAGUAUAUAGUUGGUGCUAAUGCACAAUUUCUAUAAAAAUUUUAGCAACUGGUGCAGCAAUAGCCAAAGGCAUGAUUACCGCUUGCAACAGGCAGUGAAAGUUGUUUUCAGCCUACUCACAACUUUUUCACAAUUUUUCGAGAAAUUUUUCAUAGUUUUAUAACACAAAACUCAUUUAUUGCUUUGAGUUGUCCUAAACUGCCAAAUUAAAUUUAUUUCGAACAUUUUUUCGAAUUUUGUUUUUUUUUUUGUCAUCAUGCUCUAGAACUCUCUUAUCGCAUUUCAAUUAACACAUUGUUUAAAUAUUUUCUAAUAUUAAUUUAAAUAAUCAUUCCGUAAACCGAAAAAACACAAAACGAAGUUUGCAAAAGCACGCAGAAAAUGUUGAAGAUCCUAUAUGAGGGCCACCAGUUUUGGAGAUAUGGAUAUGAAUUUUUGCGCACGUACUUUUCUUAUAAAGAAGCUGCUUAUUUCUUAGCAUUGCCGAUUUCGGACCGCUUUGCGGUAUAGCAGCCGUACAAAUUGAUCGCUCAAAGCGUAAUUCUUGUAUGGAAAACUUUUUGGUUUGAUGAGAUAUGCUCAUGGAAUUUGGCAUGGAGUAUUUGCGGUGCAAGCUCUGAAGAAAUUGUGCGUAUCGGAUCUCUAUAACAAAUAGAUGCCAUACAAACUGAUCGCUCAAAAUAUAGUUGCUGUAUGAAAAACUUUUUUAUUUGACGAGAUAUCUUCCCGAAAUUUGUCAACUGUUACCAAAAGCAGCGCCACAGUCAUCGAAUAAAUUGUUCAGAUCGAACAACUA